GAAGGUGGCGAGCGUUGUUCGGAAUCACUGGGCUUAAAGAGCACGUAGGCGGACUGUCAAGCGUCUUGGUGAAAUCCCUCGUCUUAACCGAGGAAUUGCUGGGCGAACUGAUAGUCUUGAGGCAAGUAGGGGCAAGUGGAACUCUUGGUGGAGCGGUGAAAUGCGUAGAUAUCAAGAGGAACGCCAGAGCCGAAGGGGACUUGCUGGGCUUGACCUGACGCUGAGGUGCGAAAGCCAGGGGGGAGCGAACGGGAUUAGAUACCCCGGUAGUCCUGGCCCUAAACGAUGUCUACUAGAUCGCGGAUUCUCUGACGGGUUCGCGGUCGUAAUGAAAACGAUAAGUAGACCGCCUGGGGAUACGGUCGCAAGGCUA
rnacentral:rRNA from 1 species